rnacentral:rRNA from 1 species
AGAGCGAACGCUGGCGGCAGGCUUAACACAUGCAAGUCGAGCGGGCGUAGCAAUACGUCAGCGGCAGACGGGUGAGUAACGCGUGGGAACGUACCUUUUGGUUCGGAACAACCCAGGGAAACUUGGGCUAAUACCGGAUAAGCCCUUACGGGGAAAGAUUUAUCGCCGAAAGAUCGGCCCGCGUCUGAUUAGCUAGUUGGUGGGGUAAUGGCCCACCAAGGCGACGAUCAGUAGCUGGUCUGAGAGGAUGAUCAGCCACAUUGGGACUGAGACACGGCCCAAACUCCUACGGGAGGCAGCAGUGGGGAAUAUUGGACAAUGGGCGCAAGCCUGAUCCAGCCAUGCCGCGUGAGUGAUGAAGGCCCUAGGGUUGUAAAGCUCUUUUGUGCGGGAAGAUAAUGACGGUACCGCAAGAAUAAGCCCCGGCUAACUUCGUGCCAGCAGCCGC